rnacentral:rRNA from 1 species
UUUGAUCAUGGCUCAGAUUGAACGCUGGCGGCAUGCCUUACACAUGCAAGUCGAACGGCAGCAUGAUCUAGCUUGCUAGAUUGAUGGCGAGUGGCGAACGGGUGAGUAAUACAUCGGAACGUGCCCUGUAGUGGGGGAUAACUAGUCGAAAGAUUAGCUAAUACCGCAUACGACCUGAGGGUGAAAGUGGGGGACCGCAAGGCCUCAUGCUAUAGGAGCGGCCGAUGUCUGAUUAGCUAGUUGGUGAGGUAAAGGCUCACCAAGGCGACGAUCAGUAGCUGGUCUGAGAGGACGAUCAGCCACACUGGGACUGAGACACGGCCCAGACUCCUACGGGAGGCAGCAGUGGGGAAUUUUGGACAAUGGGGGCAACCCUGAUCCAGCAAUGCCGCGUGUGUGAAGAAGGCCUUCGGGUUGUAAAGCACUUUUGUCCGGAAAGAAAUCGCACUUACUAAUAUUAGGUGUGGAUGACGGUACCGGAAGAAUAAGGACCGGCUAACUACGUGCCAGCAGCCGCGGUAAUACGUAGGGUCCAAGCGUUAAUCGGAAUUACUGGGCGUAAAGCGUGCGCAGGCGGUUGUGCAAGACCGAUGUGAAAUCCCCGGGCUUAACCUGGGAAUUGCAUUGGUGACUGCACGGCUAGAGUGUGUCAGAGGGGGGUAGAAUUCCACGUGUAGCAGUGAAAUGCGUAGAGAUGUGGAGGAAUACCGAUGGCGAAGNCAGCCCCCUGGGAUAACACUGACGCUCAUGCACGAAAGCGUGGGGAGCAAACAAGGAUUAGAUACCCUGGUAGUCCACGCCCUAAAACGAUGUCAACUAGUUGUUGGGGAUUCAUUUCCUUAGUAACGUAGCUAACGCGUGAAGUUGACCGCCUGGGGAGUACGGUCGCAAGAUUAAAACUCAAAGGAAUUGACGGGGACCCGCACAAGCGGUGGAUGAUGUGGAUUAAUUCGAUGCAACGCGAAAAACCUUACCUACCCUUGACAUGCCACUAACGAAGCAGAGAUGCAUUAGGUGCUCGAAAGAGAAAGUGGACACAGGUGCUGCAUGGCUGUCGUCAGCUCGUGUCGUGAGAUGUUGGGUUAAGUCCCGCAACGAGCGCAACCCUUGUCUCUAGUUGCUACGAAAGGGCACUCUAGAGAGACUGCCGGUGACAAACCGGAGGAAGGUGGGGAUGACGUCAAGUCCUCAUGGCCCUUAUGGGUAGGGCUUCACACGUCAUACAAUGGUGCAUACAGAGGGUUGCCAAGCCGCGAGGUGGAGCUAAUCCCAGAAAAUGCAUCGUAGUCCGGAUCGUAGUCUGCAACUCGACUACGUGAAGCUGGAAUCGCUAGUAAUCGCGGAUCAGCAUGCCGCGGUGAAUACGUUCCCGGGUCUUGUACACACCGCCCGUCACACCAUGGGAGUGGGUUUUGCCAGAAGUAGUUAGCCUAACCGCAAGGGGGGCG